AAGACUCUACUUUCAGGGAUCAUUUAUAUAGUAUGUGACUAGAGAAGUUUCUCUGAUCAUGUAGAGCACCCAGAGCCAACGAGGAGGAACCAGAGUGUCUUCUCCUGACUGUGAAACCUGUUCUAGAUGUUGCUUCUGUGACUGCCUUUGGCCAUUGAUGUUCUUUUUUUCUUUCCUCUGGGAAUGGUAGAGGUAGAGGAUGAAGUCUGUGUGGU